UACAGGGGGGGCAAGCGUUGUUCGGAAUUACUGGGCGUAAAGGGUCUGUAGGUGGCCAACUAAGUCAGACGUGAAAUCCCUCAGCUUAACUGGGGAACUGCGUCUGAUACUGGAUGGCUCGAGUGUGGGAGAGGAAUGCGGAAUUCCAGGUGUAGCGGUGAAAUGCGUAGAUGUCUGGAGGAACACCAGUGGCGAAGGCGGCACCUGGACCGGCAGUUGACGGCUGAGGCGCGAAAGCUAGGGUAGCAAACGGGG
rnacentral:rRNA from 1 species